AAACUUGAUGGUGCAGGUCGUGAGGAAGCAAAAAAAAACAUGGCUUUUGUGAGGUGCAAAGAUUUGGACAAAGAGGGAUGUGGGGCCUUCUAGGGGACUUUUUAGCAACAUGCGAAUGACUUCUUUAAUUGUAAGAGCCAGUGAAACACACAACUCCUUUAGCAGUGGGUAACAUCUUCUACAUCUUUGUCGUAAACCUCUUCCAUAUCUAUGCCUAAUGGAGAUAAUAACAUUGCUUUGCUCCAAUGGAACGAAACACAUGGGAUAUCCACCAAGAGGCUGGUUCAUAUGCAUAAAUUGUGGAUCCAAGUUUGGAAAAGAGAACAUUUUGGGGAUGACCCAUGUUUUGUUGUGAGUGGCGUACCCGUGAAGCAGUAGUGGCUAUAGUGGUGGUUGGCUUUGCUAUUGGUAUGGAAAGUGGUGUCCGAAACUCGUCCAUUGUAGGAAUGAAUGAAGUGAGGCUUUAAGUUUUUUUUGUUUAGUAAAGUGAGAGUGAGAGUUUAUGAAGGUAGUAUAAAAAAGGGUUGAGGCAAUGGAACAAACACAAGAUUUAAGGCGAGCAAGACAAAUACUUCAAAAGAAAUUAGUUUGAAGGAAAAUUAAGAUGAUGAUAAGUGUCAAAAGUAUACACUUUUCACCAUAAUUUUAUGGCACAUAUCCUAUGCAAAUUGUAGAAAACCAACUUAAAUUAACACUUUUUAGGUAAAUUUUGCAUGAUUAAAUAAAUUAGUUCCUUAUUAGUUCUUGUCCAAGUUUUCUUUGAGUUUUGUAGGAAAUUGAAUUUUAAAGAAUAAAGUCAAAGAUGGACAAGGAUUCAAGCCAAAAUUCAAGACAAAAGCUCAAAAAUGAAUUGCUAAAAGUAAUCAAUUUAAAGCAUGGCAUGCUAUGUGCUUAAUUUGGUUACUUAGCCUUGAGGAAA
rnacentral:lncRNA from 1 species